UUCCAUCCGGUGGGGGAUGUAAUAAGAAUUGGGAGCUUGGAUAAAUCUAGAAAGGACAGGGGGUUUUAGCCUAGGAAAGAGUGUCGAUCUUAAAUAACGUCAUUCCCGGCUCAGGCCAAUGGGUCAUUCCGUCCAGAAUCCUGUCUCGGACAGUGGCAACAGAUGCUUGGGGAGAUGAGGGUGAUCGUCCUCUGUUUCUCGCUCAUGAGGCGGCUUUGAGUUUUUCUCAUAGAUUGCAGCCUUGGACUUCAAGAAAAGAAAUAAUACUUCAUACACAAGCAGCAUCAAUAACCCUGGUUUCUUUUUAUUGUGGGAACGGGGGAGUAUCGCUGAAGGGGAGGAAUGUAAUUUUUUUUUCAGCUGUCUUCUCGACUCUUCAGCAUGCCUUCUUGGAAAGAAGACUGCACAAUUUUCCCAUGGAGCUGAACAAACUGCCGUGUGUGGAUCCAAUGGAGUCUGCCCUAGGCAGGCCUGGCUCCCUCUCUUUUAGACGCAGGCGAGGGAGAGGUAGCCCGAAGCCACCGUUGAUUUGUGGGAACUUUCCAGAUUGCCCUGUAGCCGGUUCGCGUCUGACUAAGGUGUCCUCUGCUGUCUCAAGGAAUCGAUGCUCGUCGUUGUUCCGCCAGACCACGGGCCCUCUGGAUCGCCUUACUUCCCCUUCACUACCAGCAUUGGUCGUCUCACUGAGGCCUCCCUCUCACCAGGAUAAUCUCUGCUCUUCCCGUCUCACUCAUCGCCAUGUGUACUUGGGACCCUGUCCCCAUCCCCCCUCCCACUCUAGAGCUGUCCCUGCAGAUACUGAGCAGAUCAGCAUUGGGUAAAUACACAGAUCUGCACGUGGCUCAUA